UACAGAGGUCUCAAGCGUUGUUCGGAUUCAUUGGGCGUAAAGGGCGCGUAGGCGGUCGUGACAAGUCACUUGUGAAAUCUCCGGGCUUAACUCGGAACGGUCAAGUGAUACUGUCGGACUAGAGUACAGAAGGGGCAACUGGAAUUCUCGGUGUAGCGGUGAAAUGCGUAGAUAUCGAGAGGAACACCUGCGGCGAAGGCGGGUUGCUGGGCUGAUACUGACGCUGAUGCGCGAAAGCCAGGGGAGCGAACGGG
rnacentral:rRNA from 1 species